AUUUAUAUAAUAUAUUUAGUAUAUUUGAUUUCCAAUCAAAGAGUUUAAUUUUUAAUUAAUAUAAAUA
rnacentral:tRNA from 1 species